UCUAAUUUCCAGUUGCGUUACGGCACCAGGUGGGACCGUGCUGUUGGUCGCGUGGUCCACGCCCCACUGAGAUUGGACCUAUUUGAAGGAGAGACAAUUACUCAGGUGUCUGGAAAAUACCGCUCAGCCAACUACAUCUAUUAGUUGAUUUUUGUGACCAGUAGAGGGCGCUCUCUCAUCACAGGCGUGCCAUUUGAGACCUCCUUUAACUUUUACCCCGAGCAUGCAGAGGCGGAGCUUCGGAUGUUGAGUGGGCGGUUCGAUAGCAAUGGGAUCAGAUCACUGGGAGCCCAUUGGGGGGUAUUCCAGGAGGCCACAGGUUAUGGAAAUAAUACUACUUAAAGGUUGGGUAUGGGAUUUGCGAAACGCCAGCAGAUUUAGAAAAUAAACAACUCAAAUGGUCCUACCCCCUCUCCUUCAACGCUGACUCUGACUCCACCCAUUCCAAGUACAUGGACGCGCAAUCAUGCACGAGUGAACACAGAUGCGCGAGAGCGAGCCAUUAGCUAGUUAGCUAGCUCCAGUAGCUACCGCAGGAUAACAACAAACAGAAGCUUGCUCUGGGUCACGAGCUUUGAGUACGUGCACGAAGGGGUCGCGCGGGGAGCGGGGGAGGGGGAGUGCAGUACGACCGUUUGAUUGACGUACUUACUGUCCAAUGCAACUCGGUGGCUCUGGAAAUCAUUGGCUGGAGUUUUUCGAGCCCUGCCCGUUCCACAGAUGAUUGACUUGUUUAAUUUUCAUGUCAGUACUUCUAACUCAGUGGCUGUAAGUGGGUUAUGAUAAGGAUUUAAAUUUUCAAGUAAUUUUGCAAAAAUUGCCAAAAAAGCGAAUUCCAUACCCAACCUUUAACCAAAUGCUUAAAAGCACAUUUGACUUAUUUUUAUCAAAACACUUGUCUAUUAAUUACCUUUUCAUUCAGGGGUCAAUCCUGGAUAGAUGUGAGAUCUGUAUUGUCUCCAAAAACAUAUUUUUCACUUUAAAAAUGUCUUCAAAUGAUCUUUUAAUGUGUGCAUGGGAAUUAUAUCUUUGCAAACCACUAUGAAGGGCCUCAUGUUUGAUUAGUGGUUUAAAAGUAAACAUUGCCUUGCCUAACUAAAGGAGGACUCUGCUCUCAAUCUUUUAUUCAACUAAUUCUCUACGAAAACAAUUGUAUCGACUAAACACAUUCUACACAUGGAGUUAUCUGUGCCACACAUUCAUGGGGCCAAUUCAAGUCAUAUUUAAAUAUCCUCAGAGCUUAAAGCUACUCAGUGGUUUUUGCUGUCUUUGGUUUUGGGUUGUGUAUGUCUCAUGUUUUAUUUCCUUUGACGUCAUAUUAAAUGUCAUGCGUAGACAAUCAUUAAUAUAAAAAUUGGAUCACAAGAAAUGCAAGGACAGAAUGUGUCCCUUUGUCAAUAUAAAUAUAUUAUAAAAUCAUAUAUGAUUUUCAAAUUUGUGGAAAAAUCUUCAUGACAAAUUAUUAUUCUAUGAUAAUCUGCCAUGAAAAUUAUAAUAACAUUUGAAUAAUCUUCAUGGUCUAUUGGUUUAUUGUAUCUGACUGUAUUUGAAGGAAUUCGUGCUGCGGAGAGAGAGUUGUCAAUAAAAGGAUUUGAAAGUGUGGAUAGAGUUGCCAAAAUGACAACAACAACCAUGUCCAAGCAAUAAAGUUGGGUAAUAAUAAUA